rnacentral:lncRNA from 1 species
AGCUGCAUGCCUGGUGAGGUGGCGUGGCCUGCUGUGCGUGGAUGGGAACUGAGAGUAUAAAAGAGUGAGAGGCCCAGGGUUCGGGGGAGAUAUAAAAACAAGGGAGAUAUAAACAAGAAGAAACAGGACUGAAUAAACGUGUGCAGAAGGAUCCUGUUGCAGCAUCGUUCUUGCUGGCGAGUUGGGGGCGCGCUCGAGAGUUGGUGCCGAAACCCGGGAAAAGAAACAUCUUCAGGCACAAGCGAAGACCCCCUGCUACAGGGAGGAUUCAGAACUGCAUCACGGGGAAAGGUGGUAAUAAAGUGUUCCCGUAAAACAGACUGUUGAGAAGGAUCCGGCGUGGAUUCAGAACUCUUCAGCUGGGGAACGGUACUGAUG